rnacentral:rRNA from 1 species
CUACGGGGUGCAGCAGGCGAGAAAACUUUGCAAUGUGCGAAAGCACGACAAGGUUAAUCCGAGUGGUUUGUGCUAAACGAACCUUUUGACAGUCCUAGAAACACUGUUGAAUAAGGGGUGGGCAAGUUCUGGUGUCAGCCGCCGCGGUAAAACCAGCACCUCAAGUGGUCAGGAUGAUUAUUGGGCCUAAAGCAUCCGUAGCCGGCUCUGUAAGUUUUCGGUUAAAUCUGUACGCUCAACGUACAGGCUGCCGGGAAUACUGCAGAGCUAGGGAGUGGGAGAGGUAGACGGUACUCGGUAGGAAGGGGUAAAAUCCUUUGAUCUAUUGAUGACCACCUGUGGCGAAGGCGGUCUACCAGAACACGUCCGACGGUGAGGGAUGAAAGCUGGGGGAGCAAACCGGAUUAGAUACCCGCGUAGUC